rnacentral:rRNA from 1 species
GGGGAAUAUUGGACAAUGGGCGAAAGCCUGAUCCAGCCAUGCCGCGUUUGUGAAGAAGGUCUUCGGGUUGUAAACCGCUUUCAGCAGGGACGAAGGGUUUCUGACGGUACCUGCAGAAGAAGCACCGGCUAACUACGUGCCAGCAGCCGCGGUGAUACGUAGGGUGCGAGCGUUGUCCGGAAUUAUUGGGCGUAAAGAGCUUGUAGGCGGUCCGUCGCGUCGGAAGUGAAAACUCAGGGCUUAACCCUGAGCCUGCUUUCGAUACGGGCAGACUUGAGGGAUGUAGGGGAGAACGGAAUUCCUGGUGGAGCGGUGGAAUGCGCAGAUAUCAGGAGGAACACCAGUGGCGAAGGCGGUUCUCUGGACAUUUCCUGACGCUGAGAAGCGAAAGCGUGGGGAGCAAACA